rnacentral:rRNA from 1 species
GUUAGGAAUAUUGGACAAUGGGCGCAAGCCUGAUCCAGCCAUGCCGCGUGAGUGAUGAAGGCCUUCGGGUUGUAAAGCUCUUUAGUCCACGAAUAUAAUGACUGUAGUGGAAGAAUAAGCCCCGGCUAACUUCGUGCCAGCAGCCGCGGUAAUACGAAGGGGGCGAGCGUUAUUCGGAAUCACUGGGCGUAAAGCGUGCGUAGGCUGUUUUGUAAGUCAGAAGUGAAAGCCCAGGGCUUAACCCUGGAAUUGCUUUUGAAACUACAAGACUCGAAUUCGGGAGAGGAUAGCGGAAUUGUCAGUGUAGCAGUGAAAUGCGUAGAUAUUGACAGGAACACCAGUGGCGCAAGCGGCUAUCUGGAUGAGUAUUGACGCUGAGGCACGAAAGCGUGGGGAUCAAACAGGAUUAGAAACCCUAGUAGUCC